UGGGGAAUAUUGCACAAUGGAGGGAACUCUGAUGCAGCGACGCCGCGUGAACGAAGAAGGCUUUCGAGUCGUAAAGUUCUUUUAUAUGGGAAGAUAAUGACGGUACCAUAAGAAAAAGCCCCGGCUAACUACGUGCCAGCAGCCGCGGUAAUACGUAGGGGGCUAGCGUUGUCCGGAAUCACUGGGCGUAAAGGGUUCGCAGGCGGUAAUGCAAGUCAGGUGUAAAAGGCAGUAGCUUAACUACUGUAAGCAUUUGAAACUGCAUAUCUUGAGAAGAGUAGAGGUAAGUGGAAUUUUUAGUGUAGCGGUGAAAUGCGUAGAUAUUAAAAAGAAUACCGGUGGCGAAGGCGGCUUACUGGGCUCAUUCUGACGCUGAGGAACGAAAGCGUGGGUAGCAAACAGG
rnacentral:rRNA from 1 species